CUGAAGGAAUGGACCCGAGGACGAGGAAGGGGCCGGGUGUGGGGCUCAGGCCCUGUUGGCUCUGGGCUCGGGCCGCAUGGAGCCGGGCGCGCUGCUUGGCCUGAGGCGGCGGCCUGCCGAGGAGGAGCAGGGCGGCCCCGGGGACGCGAAACGGGUAUGUAGGAGCCUCGAAGGUGGUCUUGGGGAGGAUGCUGAUCGUGGGCCAAGUGCACUGCCCCAGGUGUGCUGGACUCCGAACGGGGGCUCGCAAUCAAAGGGCUUCUUUGCAUGGGAGAUGACGCCUGGGGAUAUCCAAGGCAGUCAGAGCUCAGCGAUUUCUGCCAACAAUGGAAGACGUCCCACUCAGCCUUGCUUACGAUGCCUCGCCGGCGAGUCUGGGCAUUUUAACCAUACCAUGAAUUGUUAGAAGAUACAAGUUGGCAAAGAAGGCCGCAUCCUAUCUCCUCCCCAUGAUGAUGAAUAUGUAUUUAUUUAUUCACUCAUUCCUAAAAUAUUUACUGAACAUCCAGUAUGUACCAAGAAAUUGGUCUAGGCACCAAUAGGAAAAGAAGACAAAGAGAUUUCUACUUUCAAAAAUUUACAGCCUAAUGGGGGAGAUGGAGACAUCUAUACAAAUGACUCUCAAACCAGGUGGUCUUUUUAUGCCCCACAUAAUUAAAAUGAAUUGCUGUUGGAGAGCCUCUACUCCGGCAUACGGAUUUCCGAAACUUCUGGUGUCCGCAUUCCGAGGCAGGCCCAGACUGGGGCGCUGACAGUGAGAUCGGAAGCUGCCUGCAGACAGGUCGGCUGCUCAUGGGAAAGAUUUCCUUGUCAUCUCUGACCUCCAGCGGUGGCCCGGCAAAGAUUCCAGGGCCUAGAAUGACAAGCGUGUGGUCGGCUCCUCCCCUCCCUCAGCCUAAACACCCGUCCUCAUUCUACCACUCUUGUGAUAAAAUAGCUCCUGCCUCCUCCAGCCCCAACAGGCUAAGUCCAUUUUCUGUAACAUUACUAAGUGACUAAUAUUGUGGCAGAAACAAUCUUCGGUGAAAUUGGAUUGACUAGGGAAAUGUGCCGUCCACAAUCUAAUAUACAACUUAUUUGUAUCAGACUACUUUAUCAGCUGGCCUCAGAAGAGGGGAAGGCGCGUUUGAUCAGAUUAGCUGGGAGGAAGGAAGGAAGAUGAACUCUGAGGAGCUGGCGUUUGGAAGAACGAGCUGUCCGCAGGCUUUGGGGGGCGGAUGGGAACUCCUCCCUCACAUUAUCACCAUCCACUAGGAUGAGGUGUGAUGCUGGACUCUCCUGGGGCACCUUCUGAAGGCCAAAGGCACACGCCUGACAUCCAGAGGCAGACCCUUCACUGCUCAAACACUAUCCUGGCCAUCAUCAGUGGUGCCCAGGAAGCUGCGUGUUUAUCUAAAAGGAGUCAGCUUCACGUUGAUAACACCCCAAGCUUCCUCCUCCAAGCCCGAAACAUGACUGGGAUGAAUGCUCUCUUACGGGCAUUCCAUGGGAGAGGCUGCUGACGCAGACGGCCUCAUGGUGCGGGUGCCCGUGAGCUCUAAAUCUAGAGUCAUGGGUCCCUGCAGUGGCUCAGGGCAGGGCACUGGUGUCGCUAAGCUAGAUGUCUUGAAAGAAAAGGAGCCAUGGUGCUUCAUGGGCCAUGCUUAAGGCAGGUAUCGAAGGCCAGUCCUGGCACGCGCAGGAUGCCUGUGCCUCUGUGCUCUGGCAAAGCUGACGGCCAGUCCACCCUCUUGCUGUGUGGUCUGGGGGUAAGCCUGGACAUAGAGGUUGACUCACCCAGACUGUGGGCGUGGGACAGUUCAAAGUCCCACAAAAUGGCGCUCAGUCCAAGUGGAGGGCUUUCUAGAAUGGCUGGACCCUGGAGAAGGGGAGUCCCAGGAAGGCGACUCCAUCAUAUUUGUCGAGAAACUGCCUUGCCCUCAACACUCGUAUGUUUGCUUGGAAGAGGAGCGAGCGUCUGCCCCCGUCAGCUGCCGGCCCUGAUUAGGCCCAGGGGACAAGGGAGGCACGUCCUACCUUGGGACUAUAACCAGAAUGAAUGAGUCCGGUAGAGACUUCCUAUGCGCCAGGCACUGCGUCAGGACAAAGCAAAUACCAGGAAAGAGAAUGGCACUUCCUCCCCUCCAAGGGUUUCUCCAUUCUACUGGGGGAAGAUGACAUGUAAGAAGGAACUGAACGUGGUGGUGGUGGGGGGGGAGGAUUGGCGAGAGGGAAGGCACCAGAGAGUCAAAAGCACAGGCAGGAGAGGAAUGAAGGACGGUUAUCCUAGACCCUUCCUCAAAUUGGAGGGUCUGGAAGGAACUCACUAAUGGGAGAAGGGGACUGUGGAGGAAGAAGGGAUCUUUUAGGUUGAGAAGACUUGCGGAGGCACAGUAACAAGUCAGUGUAGGAAUGAAGGGUAGCCUCACUUCCCUUGGACUGACCAGUCAGGGAGAUGAGGGAGGAGCAAAGGGAAGAACAAGCUUAUAUGGUAGGUAGGGAACCAAUGGGCAACUGCUCCUGGGGGUGGGGAGGAUGGGUAAGUAAAUGAUAAUAUAUCCCAUUGGAGGCUCAAAGGUAUUAUGUGUGGGAGGGGGCAUGGGGAGAAGUGGGCAGACCUGCUUCUCAUUUUCAAAAGCUGCAAAAUGGGCCCUAAGACCAGCGUGGCUUAGCUCACAGGGAGGACUUGGAGUUCAAAUGAAAUGAUGGAUGAGAAAGAACUUGGUAGAUUUACUUUUUAUUAUCAUUACUCGUUCUCUUUCUUUGGUCUGUCAAGGCGUUGCUCAGUCUUGGUACUGCCUAUAUGCAUUUUAUUCUGGUUUAAUCUCCCUAUUUCUUUUGAUCUUCCUGUGACUUAUGCAUGCAUGUUGGGCAAGAUAUACAACAUGGGCACAGGUAAGCUAUAAUACAUAUUGCAAGCUCAGAAUUACGAAGAAAGAAGACCAUAGAUGAGGUCUUCUAAGAAAGGUCUGAUAAAGCGGCAGUCAUCAAAACUAUCUGGUACUGGCUAAAAAAUAGAGUGGUAGAUCAAUGGAAUAGGCUAGGCUCAGGAAAUGCAGUAGUAAAUGACACUAGUAAUGUAGUGUUUGAU